rnacentral:rRNA from 1 species
AACGUAGGUUCCGAGCGUUAUCCGGAUUUACUGGGCGUAAAGCGUGUUCAGGCGGCUCAGCAAGUCGGGCAUGAAAUCUCUCGGCUCAACCGGGAGAGGCUGUCCGAUACUGCUGGGCUUGAGGGCAGUAGAGGGUGGUGGAAUUCCGGGUGUAGUGGUGAAAUGCGUAGAUAUCCGGAGGAACACCAGUGGCGAAAGCGGCCACCUGGACUGUACCUGACGCUCAAACACGAAAGCUAGGGGAGCGAACGGGAUUAGAUACCCGAUAGUCC